UACAGGGGGUGCAAACGUUGCUCGGAAUCAUUGGGCGUAAAGCGCACGUAGGCGGUUCGUUAUGUCGGAUGUGAAAGCCCUUGGCUUAACCGAGGAAGUGCAUCCGAAACUGGCGAGCUAGAGUACGAAAGAGGAUCGCGGAAUUCCCGGUGUAGAGGUGAAAUUCGUAGAUAUCGGGAGGAACACCGGUGGCGAAGGCGGCGAUCUGGGUCGAUACUGACGCUGAUGCGCGACAGCGUGGGGAGCAAACAGG
rnacentral:rRNA from 1 species